rnacentral:SRP_RNA from 2 species
CGGCAGGGAGGGUCGGAGGGCUCGGCCUCCUCUGUAACUACAAAUGGUCGUCAUGGUAGGACCAGUAACUCCUAGGGGCGGUGGUUCCGUCCUUUGAAGCCUAGGACAAUCAACGUAGAAGUCUCGCCCCACGGGGACGUCGGAGUAGGUAAGGGCCAUCUGAAAGGAUGGCCCUCCUACAUACUGGAUGAACCGGGUUAGGCCCGGAAGGGAGCGGCCCUAAGUCCAGACGGCGUCGUUCGUGGGAUAACGGGAUGGAGUUGAUUGUCCUAGGUCUUCAAAGGAGAUGGGCCAUCCACCCUAGGAGGGCUGCCG